rnacentral:rRNA from 1 species
AACGAACGCUGGUGGCGUGCUUAACACAUGCAGGUCGAACGAGAAAGUUUCUUUCGGGAAAUUAGUAAAGUGGCGCAAGGGUGAGUAUCACGUGAAUAAUCUGCCCUUGAGAUCGGGAUAACAUGGUGAAAACUAUGCUAAUACCGGAUAAGACCACAUUUCAUAAGAAAUGCGGUAAAAGGAGUCUCAAUCUUCACUCGAGGAUGAGUUCGCGCAACAUUAGCUUGUUGGUGAGAUAAAAGCUCACCAAGGCUACGAUGUUUAGCCGGCCUGAGAGGGUGAUCGGCCACAUUGGAACUGAGACACGGUCCAGAUUUUUAUGGGAGGCAGCAGUGGGGAAUAUUGCGCAAUGGGCGAAAGCCUGAUGCAGCAACGUUGUGUGAGCGAUG